GGGGGCGAAAGGGCUCGACGGGGGUUAUGAGGCUCAAGCUGCAUGCCGUGGCUCCUUCACCACGUAAAAAGAGGGAACAAACACAAACGCCAACAACGAACUGGCACUCGCUGCUUAACUAGCAGCACGCCCCUUUCCGGUUGCCUGAGCCGGAGAGACCGGCGUCAUAUUUCAGGCUGCCAUCGGGCAGCACCCUUCUGUUUCGAUGGGAGAUUUUAGGGGAUAGGUUGUCAGAAGGCCUGUCUGCCGGCAUGCUGACCGCCGAAUCUGAAAUAGGCGGGCUAUGCAUGGAGAUGCUUGAGAGUAGUGCUUUCGGACCGGGGUUCAAUUCCCCGCGCCUCCACCA
rnacentral:tmRNA from 1 species